ensembl:lncRNA novel transcript
AGAUAAAGCUGAACUGGGGCAAAGACUACACUUGAGUAAAAUCUUGAACAAUGUGAGUGGGAGGAGGAGAAGGCCUGGCAAAUUAGAAGCACAACCUUGAAGGGCAGAGAGACAAGAGUCUUGCUAUGUUGCCCGGGUUGGUUUUGAACUCCUGACUCCUGGCCUCAAGUGAUCCUCCUGCCUCAGCCUCUUAUAGUGCUGGGAUUGCAGGUAUAAGACACCACGUCCGGCCCCUGGAAGUUUCUGGAGUUGUAAAAUGGCAUCAAGUUGAUUUUAAGGAAAACUCUUCUGGAAGCAGAGUUCAAGGUGGAUUGGAAGAAGGCAGCCUGAAGUUAUUCUCUCUUCCCCAUUUCCAUUGUCCAAAAUGUUUUAUUGUCUUUGAAAAAGAUAAACAAGCAAUCCUCAUUCCUCACUACUACACUUCCUUGGUAGAAACACAAUAAAUAUACAGCCACUUUGGAGAA